rnacentral:lncRNA from 1 species
GUCCCAAAUUGCCAAUCAUCCCCUGGGCCCCACUGGGGGGCCAAACUGCCUCUGGUUGAGAACCACCUAGUUUAGUAGGACACUAGGUUCCUACAGUAUAUUACAUUGCAGUAUCAUAAAGAAGUAAAUUAUAUGAAUAAACCCAUCUUUCUAACUUUAUCUCCCUAGUUUUAAUAUCCAAGUAUCAACUGAAAAGGAGUGGGAGGUUUAUUGUACUCCAUACAGAAAUUCACAUUCAUACAACCUAAAAGUAUGGGUUUGGGUAGCCAAGGGCCUAAGAUUAUCUUUUGUUGGUUUUGAUAAUAACAGCAAUAACAGCUUUCAUUUAUGGAGGGGUAAUUACCGUGCCCCAUCCUGCGCUAAGUCAUGUGCUGUUUCACCUGAUCCUUGUAACAUAUGUAGAUGUUAACUACAUUAUCAUACUCACUUAGAUGAGCACGCUGAAGCUUAGAGCACUUAAAGAAUUUGCCUCAACUUGUACUCUUACUGAAACACAGAGUUUAUGUUUAAAUCCAGGUGGUCCCACCCAGAACCUGCAUAAUGAACUACUUAUAUACAGUUUCUCCCCUUGUGGCCUGGAUUAUAGCUGCUCCCAAGGACUGAAUGGUUGCUGGGCCUCCACAGCUGAUGCUCAGCAGAUUUCUUUCUAGCACUUUCACAUAAUUUGGAUCUCAGUGAGUCACAUCCUAUAAUCGUUUUAUGAGAACAAAGUGGCAAAUAGCUAAUUUAAAAUUAUCCCUGUCAGAAGAAGAUAAGAAAAUUACGUGUGGGUUUGAUAAAAAACAUUUUAUAUCUCUUCUAAAACACUUGUUAAAUUUUAUCGAGAUGUGACCUUAUAAACUUAGACCUCUAAUGUCUCAGCAAGCUGUAUGCUCCGUGGGAAUUUGAAUUCCCACUCAAUAUUUAAUUUGUGUUAAUUAACUCAAUGUUUAAUUUUUUCUGUUUGUUUCCAUAGUCUUUAACAUUUUCUACAUGUGUUGACAAGAGGAAAUAUCUGACUACUACAUCACACAUUUUCUCUCUUGCCCUGCUGGUAGAGGUUUAAAGACAAGUGGAAUUGUCAAAAGUCAGGCAGAUUGAGCAAAACAAAACAAAACAAAAGGAAACAAAAACAAAGACACCUAUUAAUCCACAGCCUGGAAAGUGAACUAACACUUGUGCCCCCCUCUAUUUUUAAUUAAUCCAAUGUCAGAGCUCCUUCUCCCACCCUGUCUUUAUUUAUACAUCCUUUUAAUCAUUACUUCAGUUGCCAUUAUCUUCACUACUUCUGUUGCCACUCCCCAGAUUAAUCCUAGAAGUAGUAAUGAAAGAAAAAGAACCUCUUUCUUAGUUAUUUUAAAAUCAGUCCAUUAGGCCAUUUUUUUCAUUAGCACUUCAGCAGACACUCUGUAAAUAUCUACUAUAUUAUGGAGUCCAGUAAACAAAUCAGAGUGGGAAACACAGCAAAACAGAAGAUACAGGCAAGUGUAUCCAUAUGGAAGAUAACUGUGCUGCCAUUAAGUGGUGGAACACAGCAAGGGCAGUGAAUUGUUAUUACCACAUUUCACUGAUUGCUUUUGAAGUGCUCUUUAUCAUGGGGAAUUUUAAACAUAUACAAAAGUGGAAAGCCUGGUAAGUGAACUCCCAUACACUUACACUCACCCCAAAAGUCAGCAAACCCUGACCAGUUUUGUCACAUACUGUGUUAGUUAUCUAUUGGAGUAAAAUGAAUUGCCCCACAUUUCGCACUUUAAAACAACAUACAUUUACUAUCUCACAGUCUCCAUUUAGGGUUUAUGUGAGUCUUCUGGCGCUGGGUCCCUCACAAGACGGUAGUUACCUCAGACCUUACCUGCGGGGUCCACUUUUAAGCUCACUCAAGUGGUUGUUGGUUACUCAGGAGAACUCUUGGUGGAGGCUUCCCCCUGUUGCCUCCCAUGUGGACGUCUCUGUAGAACAUUUCACAACAUGGCAGCUUGCUUCAUCAGACUGCCCACAAGAAAGAGAGCAAGAGAGAGUGAGCAUGACAGGGAGUCACAGUCUUUGGAACAUAAUCAUAGAAAAGUAUCCAAUCAUCUUUGCCAAAUUCUACCCUUGAGAAAAAAGUCACCAAGUCCAGCCCACACUCAAGGGGAAGGGAUUACUUAUGGGUGUAACUACCAGAAGGUAGGAACUACUGGGGGCUAUUUUAAGAGUCUGUUCAUCACACACACAUAUUCACAUUCCUUCUACCCUCUCAGAUUAUUGUGAAGCAAUCCCCAAUUUCAUAUCACAUCUUCUGUAACUGUUUUGGAAUGUAUCCCUAAAAGAUAGAAUUCUUUUGAAAAAUACAUAACUGAAGUGUCAUUAUUACACCUAAAAUUUAAUAGUAAUUCUCUAAUAUUUUUAAAUAUCCAGGUUUGAAUCUGCAUCCUCAUGGAUCAUUAACCUCUGAGCCACGAUGAAGGGAACUCCCAGACAGUAGUUUGUUUGACCUGUUGUUUCCUGCAGUGUGAGUUUUGCUGAUUGGAAUCCUGGGUUAAAGUUUCACAUAUAAAUUGAUAAGUAUUAUAAAUUGAUAAGUAUAGAUUUUAAAAUGGUGUUUUUUUGGAUAUUUUAUUUAUUUCAUUAUAGCUGGUUUACAGUGUUCUGUCAAUUUUCUACUGUACAGCGUGUUUACCCGGUUACACAUUCAUGUACUGAUUCAUCAGAAGUGAUUAGACUUAGUUCCCAGUCUAUACAGCAGACUCUCAUUGCCCAUCCAUUCCAAAGGCAACAGUUUUACACAUUGAAGUAAAGGUGCAUCUUACCAUCAAAGGCUUUAUGUAUUUUCUCAGGUGUCAGUUUUGAUACUGUUUUCAUUGCUUCAGCAUGAGCAAACUUGUCUUGACUUUAUCGUUAUCACUUCAGUUGAAUUAUGUGCAUUGAUCCUAUUACAUAGAUUGAGUUUAAUUACUAUUAAAGGUUUUUUUUUUUUUUUUUUUUUUUUGCAAAAAGAUUAUUCUGUGAUUUUACACUGAAAGAAAAGGUUACUGUGAUGGUAGGAGAACAGAACAGAACAGAGGGGAGUGCAUUUGAUUCAUUGAGGACUGGGCCACUAUGAUCCCUUGGUGUUUCAGACUGUAAACCAAAUGAAGGACAUUUGAAGAAGGAAUAUAAAUCCUGAUGUCUGAAAUGGAUCAAGAAAUUAGCAUCCUUGAAAAUUUCAUAGUCAAUAGCAGAAUACUUUUAAGUUGUUUUAAAGAUAUUUUUUAUGUUUCAAUAAAAUAGUAUGGAAAAACACACAUUAAUGGCUUGAAUAUAAAAGUGAUUCCUUUUGGAUUCUUUUUAGUUUUAGUUUUUCAGAAUAUUCUGUUGGCUUUGGUAAAUACUAAGUGAAAACAAUACUAAAAAAAUUGCAUCACCAGUGUUAGUCUAAUUAAGGCACAGGAAAAAGACUGAAAGAAAAUACAUCAAAUUGCUACCAAUGUGAUGAGAUUCCGGGACAUGUAUUUUUCCUUUAUAUCUUGUUAUUGUUUUCCUGAAAUGUUUACAAUGAACAAGAAUACCUUUUAAAAUCGAGGAAAGAAACCUCACUAAAUAUUAUUGUUGUAAAAGCACCAUGUCAGAGAAGUGACUAA